CAUAAAUCAUAUGAAUAUUUCUUAUUCUUUUAACAGGAAGAAUAAGCUGUUAAUUCUAUGCUGCUAAAUUAAUUUAGCAUAUUCAAAAUUUCACAAUUUCUUCCACUGAUGCAGAUUUAGGUUGUUUCCAAUUUUUCCCUACUGCAAUAGCCAUCCAUGAACACCCUUGUAUUUAUGGCUUGUGUACUUAUGCGAAUAUCUCUGAUGGAUGGUUCCUAGAAGUGAAGUCGUUAAGACCACGGGUAUGCAUAAUUUAAAAUUAUUUUUAAGUGUUAUAAAAACAGUGCUAAAUUUUCCCCCAAAAUACUAUACCAAAUUAUACUCUGACCAAUAUUACAUAGAAAAGAGCAAUUCCUCCCCCUUCGUUUUAACAUUAGACAUUAUCCAUUUAACGAAAUUUUUGCCAGUCUAAAUUUUUUUUAAAUACCUGUCUUAAUAAGCAUUUUUGUUGUCUUAGUAUUUUCUAAUCACUAUUAGAGGUUGAUCAUUCUUUCAUUUGUAGGCAAUUUUUAUGUUUGUCCUAUAAAUUGCUCAUCUGUAUGUUUACUUGACUCUUCCAUUAGGCUGAGCUCAAAAAGACAAAGCUUUAUCUUUUCAUUUAAUUUGUAGGAGUUUAAUGUAGAAAUUUGCUUUUAGUCUUCCAUAUGUCUUUCACAAUUCGGUUUUCCUUUUUUCCCUAUUUGUUAUCUUCUGUCUUAUUUUCUAUUUUCCAAGUUGUAUGUUUUCAAAUAAUGCUUGCUCACCACUGGCUGUCUGAUCUUCUUUAAAAGCAAGGCAUUUUAAAACCAACUGGAAGCUCUGGAUUAGAAGUGAAACUUGCCAAAUGGUGGACUUCAUUCUCUGUGAGAUCCUACGGAAAGCUGAUUUUUCUUUGAAGAAUCCCAAAAUAUACUUCUGACCAACUUUUCUGAUAUACCUCUACUAUCUGAAACACGAGAUUCUCUCUUUGUGGUUUGAUGCAUAGAAAUCCAACCUAACUCAACAUGGGUGCUUGGCUACAAGGUACUUUAUAGUCUGCCCUGUGGAUUUUAAAUUAUAUUUUUGGAACCCCACUUCUUAUGAGAAUGCUGUAGAAUCCAUGGCCAAGAACUAACAGUGGGAAAGAAGAUGCUGAACUUACGGUAAGCCCCUGCCCCUAAUUUUAUUAUGUUUCUUAAAUUUUACAUUAAUGUUUAGUAUUUACAUUUAAUGUAUAAAUCUAUUAUAUUUAAAUCUUACAUACAAAAAGGCCCACUUCUUAAAAGAUAGUGGUGAAUUUUAAACCUACUGCUCUCUUGUAACUGAAAACUUUUCUGAGCUCUGAACAUCUGACCCCCGUCCUGUCUUUCACCACUGUGCUCUCCACCUGGCUCAACUGCCCUGUCAUUCUUCACACCCAUUUCCAUACCCCCAGAUCCAGCAUCUCUUCCAAACACACCUUAAAUGAACAUCUUUCAUCACUAAGCCUAGACGAUCCAG